UGCGGAUUGAUGUAAUAGUAACAUAUCUGGCUCAUGCCCAGAAUAUUAAGGUGCAAAUCCUUAGUCCGCAU
rfam:Lasallia pustulata genome assembly, contig: scaffold1573_size11237